ensembl:snoRNA SNORD42 Small nucleolar RNA SNORD42
GGGCUAAUGAUGGAAAAAUCAUUAUUGGAAAAGAAUGACAUGAACAAAGGAACCACUGAAGUGC